UCAUAAUGUGUUCUCCGAAAAUGAUUUUAAAGCCGAACUGUUGAAAAGGUUGCACAGAAUAAAUCAACUAAAAUGUAUCGCAUAACGCAUUGACCACUUAGCCGAGCAAUACGGUUACUUCGUUUUACGAUUACCACCCUAUCAUCGCGUUUUUAAUCCUAUCGAACAUAUUUGGGGCAUAGC